GGACUUGGGCAGACAGGCAGAGGGUACACCUCAGAAGAACCGGAGUGGGAAUGAGAAGCACCUCGAUCAGACGCCUAAGAAGAUACUAGGCGGUCCGAGGAGCCGCCCAGCCGGACACAGUGAGCCACCCGUUACCGGAGAGACCUUUCAGUUGUAUUUCUCCCCAACCUUUAUUAAAGAACAACUUUGGUUUGAGCACCGCAAAUCAGUCUCCCUCUGUCUUAUUUUAUUGUGAGUUUCACCUCUGACUCCCCUGGGUUGCCACAGGACCAAUCAGACAGUCCGAAUGUGUUCGCGUUCUAGAAGGGUCGUGGAGGAAGUCAAUACCAGACUCAUUGUGGAGACGAAACAAACAUUCGGGGUAGCCAGGCAUGGGUAGGAAGAGGGCUGAGAGCAUGCGGUCUCCAUCAGGCUAUAAGGGAGCAUGUGGUCUCCAUCAGGCUCUGAGAGAUAAUGUGGUCUCCAUCAGGCUCUGAGAGAUAAUGUGGUCUCCAUCAGGCUCUGAGAGAGCAUGUGGUCUCCAUCGGGCUCUAAGAGAGCAUGUGGUCUCCAUCAGGCUCUAAGAGAUAAUGUGGUCUCCAUCAGGCUCUGAUAGAUAAUGUGGUCUCCAUCAGGCUCUGAGAGAUAAUGUGGUUUCCACUCUCCAUCAGGCUCUAAGAUAGCAUGUGGUCUCCAUCAGGCUCUAAGAGAGCAUGUGGUCUCCAUCAGGCUCUAAGAGAGCAUGUGGUCUCCAUCAGGCUCUAAGAGAGCAUGUGGUCUCCAUCAGGCUCUAAGAGAGCAUGUGGUCUCCAUCAGGCUCUAAGAGAGCAUGUGGUCUCCAUUAGGCUUUAAGACAGCCUGACCAACAUAAACAGUAAACAGACAGAAGCCUCUCACUCACACAGCAGGAGUGUUGUCUCGCUCUCUGUUCCACCAUCUCUUCCUCAAUCUCUUUUUCAUUGUGUGUCUUUCACUCCCACACAUCAGACAGACACACACUGUCAGCACCUGCCUGCUGCUGCAACCCAGAGAGACAGUCAACUGGAUGGACCGACAGAUGAAUAAUGUAUGAACGACACUAGGAGGGGCGUCGAUACGAGCAGGAUACUGACACACACAGGAUACUGACGCGGUGUAACUUCCUGCCGAGUCAGCGCUAUAGGUGACUUGACUGUCAUGGUGGUGUCUGUCUGCCUCAAGUCAGACUGUACUUCCUUAUAAACCCCAAUAAGUCCCUAUGGAUAAUGUAAUGUCAUUAGACCUUAUGGCCA
rnacentral:lncRNA from 13 species